UACGUAGGGUGCGAGCGUUAAUCGGAAUUACUGGGCGUAAAGCGUGCGCAGGCGGUUCGUUGUGUCUGUGGUGAAAGCCCCGGGCUUAACCUGGGAAUGGCCAUGGAAACUGGCGAGCUGGAGUGUGGCAGAGGGGGGUGGAAUUCCGCGUGUAGCAGUGAAAUGCGUAGAUAUCGGAAGGAACAUCAGUGGCGAAGGCGACUUCCUGGACCAAUACUGACGCUCAGGUGCGAAAGCGUGGGGAGCAAACAGG
rnacentral:rRNA from 1 species